rnacentral:rRNA from 1 species
UGACCCACGGGAGGUCUACACCAAACCAUUGCAUUGCCAUGAUCUCAGUCUGAAAUGUAAAAAACAAAAGUUAAAACUUUCAACAACGGAUCUCUUGGUUCUCGCAUCGAUGAAGAACGCAGCGAAAUGCGAUAAGUAGUGUGAAUUGCAGAAUUCAGUGAAUCAUCGAAUCUUUGAACGCACAUUGCGCCUCCUGGUAUUCCGGGAGGCAUGCCUGUUCGAGCGUCAUUAAAGACCACUCAAGCGAUUUUGCUUGGUAUUGGAAGAAGAGUGCCUCUGGCCCUCCCUUCCGAAAUUCAAUGGCGGAAAGUCUCACGUGCCCCGGCGUAGUAAGUUUAUCUUUCGCUUGGACCAUGAGGCGUUCUCGCCCUCAAAUCCCCAAUACUAUAGGUGACCUCGGAUCAGGUAGAGCCC